rnacentral:rRNA from 1 species
AGGAUAAACGCUGGCGGCGUGCAUGAGACAUGCAAGUCAAACGGACGAUCGGGGUUCGCUCUGAUCGUUAGUGGCGAACGGGUGAGUAACGCGUUGGUGACCUACCCCAAAGUGUGGAAUAACAGUCCGAAAGGAUUGCUAAUACCGCAUGUGGUUAUCGGAUUUAGAAACUGAUAACUAAAGGAGCAAUUCGCUUUGGGAGGGACCUGCGUCCCAUCAGCUAGUUGGUGAGGUAACGGCUCACCAAGGCUACGACGGGUAGGGGACCUGAGAGGGUGACCCCCCACAAUGGAACUGAAACACGGUCCAUACACCUACGGGUGGCAGCAGUAGGGAAUAUUGCACAAUGGGCGAAAGCCUGAUGCAGCAACGCCGCGUGUGCGAUGAAGGCCUUGGGUCGUAAAGCACUUUUCUGAGAGAUGAGAAAGGACAGUAUCUCAGGAAUAAGUCUCGGACUAACCGACGUGCCAGCACGCCGC